rnacentral:rRNA from 1 species
GUGGAUUAGAUACCCUGGUAGUCCACGCCCUAAACGAUGCACACUAGUUGUUGCGAUGCUCGUCAUCGCAGUAAUGCACUUAACAGAUUAAGUGUGCCGCCUGGGGAGUACGGUCGCAAGAUUAAAACUCAAAGGAAUAGACGGGGACCCGCACAAGCGGUGGAGCAUGUGGUUUAAUUCGAAGAUACACGAAGAACCUUACCUGGGCUUGAUAUCCUAAGAAUCCUGUAGAGAUAUGGGAGUGCUAGUUUACUAGAACUUAGAGACAGGUGCUGCACGGCCGUCGCCAACU